AACACGGACCAAGGAGUCUAGAGUGCGCGCGAGUCAAAGGGCUGGCUAAACCCAAAGGCGAAACGAAAGUGAUCUUUAAAGAAAAGGGCCGAUCCGGUUCGCGCGGGAGGGUUAAGGGACGUAGGUCGAGGAUGGGGUGCGCGCGGCGGCGGCUGCGGCGGCUUCGGUCGUCGUUUGUCGACGUCGCGUUCCCCCGCUUCGGUCUCUCCCUUAAUUCGCUCUCCCCGCGAUUUGUCUCCCUAAUAUGAGGACGGCGCAGGCCCGGGGCUCGCCAAUGCUUCCUCCUCGUCGUAAAUGCUCGGUCGUUCGUUUUCUCUCUCGUCGGGGCGCGCCGAGGCUUUUGAGGGCCCUCUUUCCGCUUCCGGUUACUCUCGUUCGUUUCGGCGGGCGAGGUGGUCGGCGACGGGGGAGUCAGCCGUUCGAGGGUUUCUCGUCGCGCGUCGCUUGCGAGGCGGCGGCCAGCCUGACGCGGGACGAGCGGCGGGUUCUCUGAGCGCGCAUUCUGGUACCCGAAAGAUGGUGAUCUAUGCCUGGCCAGGAUGAAGCCAGAGGAAACUCUGGUGGAGGCCUCGUAGCGAUUCUGACGUGC
rnacentral:rRNA from 1 species